CCCGGAGGCACGUGCGCGCCGCGCGCUCCUGCUAACGGGGCCGCGCACCCAAAGCUGCAGGUGGAAGCUGGAGCCCACCAGGCCCCUUGACAGGAAGCCAGCUCCCCUGACUGGGGUGUUGGCUCCCUCCAACCAUGAUGGCUGCCAACAGUUUCUGGGGGUACAGGCUUCCAGUCUCUUCCAGACCUCCAGCAAAUGUUUGUUUCUGUCUCCAUUUGUGGUAUGAAUCGAGUCACAUACCUAUCCCUGAAUCAACAUCUAUGGCCUGGAGGGACAGUACAGAGAUGCUCAGAAAAGCAAGACCAGAAAACAAUCAUCAUCAAGGGAACCAGCAGGAGGGGUGAAAAAAAAGGCUGGAUCAAUGCUGCAGAAGUGGAAAACAGACAAAGGGCAAAGCCAACAACCGAAUCAAACACACCAAAGUGAACAGAACACCAGGAAGCGAAGCGGAAGCCGCCUGCAGGGACAAAGCCACAGGAAAAUAAUUUUAAAAUAAAAAUUAAAUGGGACAAGGGAGCCCACUUUCUUCUGGCCUCUUCUCUCUUUUGUCCCCUACCAUACACACCCCCUUUACCCAUUCCUUCCCCUCUACCUAUUUUCUUUCUACCCCUCCCCCCAGUCCCUAUUCUAACCCUGUUUACAAACUCAGUAGGGUCCUUCCUCCCGCAAGUUGCUCUUCCUGGUGAGCCUGCACAGCACCCAUGGACUGGCUCUGAGUGUUCGGCCUCAGG
rnacentral:lncRNA from 1 species